GACAAAUGGGAUGAUGUAGAUACAGGAUGCUGUGUCAUGUAAACUACUUUAUUUACAGGAAGCUGCUCUGCUGCGGUGAGCGUUUCCUAUCACAACCAACUAACUCCUGUAUCUCUGAGCUGUUGUUGUCAUCAAAGUCAUUGUUCCGGUCACACUGGUGAGGUCAAUCAGACUCACUCUUAGGUCUGGUAGGGACAGGGCCAAUGUAACCACUAGGCAAACUAGGCCGCCAAGAUUUGGGGGUGCCAAAAAGCAGUGUCUGGCAUUAUGGGAGUCAGCUGAGCAGGGGGGGAGGAAGAGAGGCCUCCAUAACAAACCUGCCCCCGCAGCGAAGGGCACCGCGCAGGACAGUCAGUGGGAGCCUGCGGCGGAGCAAGGAGGAGACAGCCAGCUGGGUGCGGCGACCAGCGCAGCUGAGGGACGGAGCCAUUGAGGGAGGCAGGAAGUGGUCCUGAGCUCAGUAGGCCCAGAGAGCAGCACGUGGCUUGAAGUACUGCAACAUCCCUUUAGACUUGAGACCUGGAGCUGCUCUUGACAAGCCAGUUGUCGAGGUACGGGUAGAUCUGGAUGCCACGGUGCCUGAGGUAACCUGCUGCCACUGACAUGCACUUGGUAAACACAUUUGGUGCCAUUGCCAGACCAAACGGGAGGACUGUAAACUGGAAGGAAGCGUCUGUGUCCUUGAAAGAUCGCUAUGUGGACGUCUGAGUCCUUCAAGUCGAGGGUGGCAUACCAGUCUCCUGGAUCCAGGGAGGGGAUAAUAGAAGCCAGAGACACCAUGUGGAAUUUUAGCCUCUUGAAGUACCUGUUGAGGUCUCGCAGGUCGAAGAUGAUGCCGUAGACCACCCUUGGCCUUUGAGAUCAAGUAGUACUGAAAACAGAACCCUUUGUUCCUGUACUCAAGAGGAACUUCUUCCACCGCACCCAGCUGGAGCAACCCCUUUACUCCUGUGCUAGGAGACUCUCGUGGGAGAGGUCCAUGAAGAGGGAUGGGGAAGGUGGGUGGGAAGUGGGGUAGAAAGGAACUGUAGGGUAUAAUCCUGCUUCACUGUGCUGAGGACCCAGUGGUCUGAAGUUACAGUGGUCCAAGCAGGGAGGAAAAGGGAAA